UAAUGCUUCUGAGGCUGCUGAUGAUGCAUCUGGCAGUGAGUCGGCAGGUGAUGAAUGCUCCCGUGAAGAGCAUGAAGAGGAUGAAGAUGUAGAACAUGAUAAUGUUGACGGGAAGGCUGAAAGUGAAGGUGAGGCUGAGGGGUUGGCUGAUGCACAGUUUGCGGGAGAUGUGCCAUUACCAGAACGUUUUCUUUUGUCUGUGAAGCCUCUUGUGAAGCAUGUUCCAGCAAGUUUAGUUGAUGGGGAAAGGAAGGAAUCUCGGAAAUUCUAUGGAAAUGAUGAUUUCUAUGUGCUUUUUAGGCUUCACCAAACAUUGUAUGAGAGAAUACAAUCGGCAAAAAUUAAUUCAUCAUCUGCUGAAAGGAAAUGGAGAGCUUCAAAUGAUCCAAGUCCAACUGACCUCUAUGCCAGGUUUAUGAGUGCUCUUUACAACUUACUUGAUGGUUCUUCUGAUAAUACGAAAUUUGAAGAUGAUUGCCGAGCUAUUAUUGGAACCCAAUCAUAUGUUCUAUUCACAUUGGACAAGUUGAUAUAUAAGCUUGUCAAACAGCUCCAAACAGUGGCAACUGAUGAGAUGGACAACAAGCUGCUCCAACUAUAUGCAUAUGAAAAAUCAAGAAAACCUGGAAGAUUUGUUGAUGUAGUUUAUCAUGAAAAUGCCCGUGUUCUUCUCCAUGAUGAGAACAUAUAUCGUAUAGAAUGUUCUUCCACACCAACCCAUUUGUCUAUUCAGCUAAUGGACUUUGGACAUGAUAAGCCUGAAGUGACUGCUGUCUCCAUGGAUCCUAAUUUUGCAGCAUAUUUGCAUAAUGACUUCCUCGCCAUUGUUCCUGACAAAAAAAAGAAGCCUGGGAUAUUCCUGAAAAGGAAUAAAAACAGAUGUGUGAGUUGUGAUGAAUGCGAGGCCACAGAAGGAUUUCAAGUUUUUAAUGGUCUAGAGUGCAAGAUUGCAUGCAAUUCCUCCAAAGUAUCCUAUGUUUUAGAUACAGAAGAUUUUUUGUUUCGAACCAAAAGGAAAAGGAAAACUUUACAACAGAGCAGUUCAUGCCAUGACCAGGUUAAUAUUUCGAAAAGAGUACAGAAGUUCCACAGAUGGCUAUCCAGCUCAUAACAUGCUUUUCCGUGACCCUGAGGUGGAUAUGAUGUUUUUGUUCUACAGAUGCCUUGCAGAGACAUUACAUGACCUGGCGCGAAUUGAUGGCGCCGCAGCUGAAAUUAUCUUUCAUGUAUUGACAUAGCUGUCUCACCAAGUGAAUAAAGAAUCAAAAAGGAAGGAGAUAUGGGUCGCAAGACUGUACUAUAGUGUUAAGUUUGUGGUUUUUUUGAGCCACAAUCGUGUAAAUAGGCAUGACAGGUGAUGUAAUACCUGAGAUAUAUGUUCAUUCCAUUCAUCAAUAUUUUUAUAAUCUCGCACUUAGAUAAUACACAGUGCCCUCUAUAUUUCUUGAGAUCACUCGGCAAUUACGCAUUUGAAACCACCUUUAGUGAUCUGUAAUUGUGUUUGUUUCCCUGGAUCAAAUCUCUCUUCGUUGGUAAAUAGGAAUUUAUAUUUGAAAGUAGAGAACAGGGAGAAUAUUUUUGUUCAAAACAAGGAUGUUUGUAAUUGUUAUAGAUAACUUCUUUAUGUGUUUCAAAUAUCGAGACAUUUCGAAGGCUGUAAAAUGUUUGCAAUUGCCGUACAGCUGGUAGCCGCAGUGUUGCUAGUUAAAGGAUGA
rnacentral:misc_RNA from 1 species